GAUGAACGCUGGCGGUAUGCUUAACACAUGCGAGUCGAACGGACUCUUCGGAGUUAGUGGCGGACGGGUGAGUAACGCGUGAGAAGCUGGCUUUGGGUUCGGGACAACCACUGGAAACGGUGGCUAAUACCGGAUGUGCCGAGAGGGAAAAGAGAAAUUGGCUGAAGAUGAGCUCGCGUCUGAUUAGCUAGUUGGUGAGGUAAAGGCUCACCAAGGCAGCGAUCAGUAGCUGGUCUGAGAGGAAGACCAGCCACACUGGGACUGAGACACGGCCCAGACUCCUACGGGAGGCAGCAGUGGGGAAUUUUCCGCAAUGGGCGAAAGCCUGACGGAGCAAUACCGCGUGAGGGAAGAAGGCUCUUGGGUUGUAAACCUCUUUUCUUAGGGAAGAACAAAAUGACGGUACCUAAGGAAUCAGCAUCGGCUAACUCCGUG
rnacentral:rRNA from 1 species